rnacentral:lncRNA from 1 species
CGCAAACGCACCCCUAGCCACCCGCCCUAAUACGAGGAUAGCCCGUGACAACCAGAAUGCAGUAUCCCUAAAGCCUCUGCAGUCCCUGCGAUUGUGGGAUCCUGACUAUGUCAGGAUUUUGGCUUUGCAGGGUGUGGCAAGGGUCUUGCUCUUGCCUGGGGCUGGAGUGCAGGGUGAAGUCACACCUCAUUGCAGCCUCAACCUCCCAGACUCAAGCAAUCCUCCCACCUCAGCAGGCAUAUAUAAAUGGAAUCAUCGAAAUUUAAAAUUUGCACUUCAAAGAACACCAUCAAGAAAGUGAAGACAACCCAGAGAAUGGGAGAAAAUAUUUGCAAUCAUAUAUCUGAUAAAGGACAUGUAUACAGAAUUUUGUAAAACUAUUACAACUGAAUAAUAAGAACAAAUAACACAAUGAAAAAAAUAGGCAAAGUAUUUGGUUAGAUAGUUCUCCAAAGAAGAUAUAUAAUGGCCAAUAAACACAUGAAAAGAUGCCGAACAUCAUUAGCCAUCAGGGAAAUGCAAAUCAAAACGACAGUAAGAUACCACUUCCCACCUACUAGCUUGACCGUAAUCCAGAAGACAGAUUACAAGUAUUGGAAAGGAUGUGAAGAAAUUACAACUUUCAUAACUUGCUGGCAGGAAUGUAAAAUGGUGCAACCAUUUUGGAAAACAGUCUGGCAGUUUCUUCAGUCAGUAAAACAUACCAUAUGACCCAGCAAUUCCACCCCUAGUUGUAUACUUAAGAGAAAUGAAAAUGUGUGCACCAAGAACUUGUAUAUGAAUGUUCAUAGCUGCAAAAUCCAUAACAGUCAUUAUGUGGAAACAACCUAAAUGUCUAUCAGCUGAUGUAUGAAUAAACAAAACAUGCUAUGUUCAUACAAUGGAAUAUUGUUUGGCCAUAGUAAGAAAUGGUACCAAUACAUGCUACAAUGUGAAUGAACCUUAAAAACAUGCUAAGUGAAAGAAGUCAGUCACAGAAAACCACAUAUAAUAUGAUUCUAUUGAUAUGAAAUAUCCAGAAUAGGCAAAUAUACAGAGAUAGAAAGAUUAGUGGUUGCCUAUGGGGAGGGGCUUGGGGAGUGGUAUCUAAAUGGUGCAGUUUCUUUUGGAGGUAGUGAAAGAGUUCUAAAAAAUGACUGGGAGGCCAGGUGCAUGGCUCAGGCCUGUAAUCCCAGCACUUUUGAAGGCUGAGGCAGGAGGAUUGCUCGAGCCAAGGAGAUCAAGAUCAGCCUAGGCAACAUAGCGAGACCCCAUCUCUAUAAAAAAAAUUAAUUAAAGGAAAAAGAUGAUCAGGGCAGUAAAUACACAAGUCUGUGAUUAUACUAAAACCAUUGAAAUGUAAACUUUUAAUGGGUAAAUUGCAUAGUAUUUGGAUUAUAUCUGAAUAAAGCUGUUUUUAGAAAAAUAC